CGAGCACGCGCGUGUGGCAUAUCAAUAAGCGGAGGAAAAGAAACUAACUAAGGAUUCCCUCAGUAACGGCGAGUGAAGCGGGAAGAGCUCAAAUUUGAAAUCUUCAAGGGUUUACCUUUACGAAUUGUAGUUUAAAGAAGUGUUUUCUGUUGGUAGUAUUGGUAAAAGUUCUUUGGAAUAGGACAUCAUAGAGGGUGAGAAUCCCGUAUUUGACCAGUUACUUCCAGCUGUUGUGAUUACACUUUCAAAGAGUCGGAUUGUUUGGGAAUGCAGUCCAAAAUGGGUGGUAAAUUUCAUCUAAAGCUAAAUAUUGGCGAGAGACCGAUAGCGAACAAGUACCGUGAGGGAAAGAUGAAAAGAACUUUGAAAAGAGAGUUAAACAGUACGUGAAAUUGUCAAAAGGGAAGCGUUCGACACCAGUGUUGUUUUCUCGAAAAUCAAUUAAAUGAGUUGGAUUUGUAGGUUGUUAAGACCUUUAUCAGCUUACUGUACUAGUUUUCUUGCUCUUUGUGAAUGCACCUUUCGUUUAACAAGUCAACAUCAAUUUCUUUUGUUGUAAAAGGGUCAGUAGGAAGGUGGCUUCAGCUUCGGUGAAAGUGUUUAUAGCCUUUGGCUUCUACAAUCGGAGAGAUUGAGGUCUGCAGCGUAGAUCCUUCGGGGUUAGAUACGUAGAUGCUAAGUUAUAGUUUUUCAUAGACAACAUGUUGACUAUGAUUAAUCAUGUAGCUUACUCGCUUAUGCUAUUUUACCUACGCUUAGGAUGUUGAACUCUAUCACACACAG
rnacentral:rRNA from 1 species